rnacentral:lncRNA from 1 species
AUCAAGUCAAUCGUCCGCAGUUUCUCAGUAAAGAACAUGAUUACUUGUUAAAAAUGUGCUUGUUUAUUAAUAUACAAUUCCGGACGUGUUGUUUGUCUGUACCGUACGAGCUGUGUCGGCGGAACUUCUGCUUCUCAUCAGAAUAUAAUAUACCUUUUUUUUUCGUAUAAAAAUAACUCGUGAUAAAUGUUUGUAAAAACCAGACACGUUUUUAUGUGGAAAAGCGCAAGAAUAUUCCGCUGAGCAGCUGCUACGAGCACGAGUAUAUUUAGAAGUGCUCAAACUGACUAAUGGUAGUUAGUCAGUUACUGCGAACAGGUAGUGAGUGUUCCAUACUCGCACAGUAAACCUUAGAACAGAGUAAAUCCUCUGAACAGUACAAAUAAAUUAUUAAAAUCCGGUCUUGAAGAGUUUACUGGAAAAAAUAUAAAAUACCUCUGACCCCAGGUUGAAUGGGUAAUAGAGUUGGACCGGAGAAGUACUACCGCCACAAAUAUUGAUGUCGUACUAUGACAGCGCGUGGCGACCCAAGUGUUGAGCGGAGAAAGAUAUAUCUAUAAUCUAUGUUAUACAGUAUUGCUUAGUCCAGCAGUAUGACAAUUUUCUUAGCGGCAACCUUACAAGACACUAUAGAUAAAAGGUUGCUCCUAAGAAAAAAAUGUCAACUGCAUAUUGACUAUAUGCGCACAAGCCACGGACAAGCAUUGCCUUUAACGCCCACUUAGCAUCCGGUGGGCUCUCUGUUCGCUCACUAUUCGGUACUGUAAAGAGACGAUGAUCAGCUAAUAUCAUAAUAAAGAAUUAAUAAAGUAAAUGGGGUAUUUUGUAAUGAAUAAAGUAUUCUAAAUAAUCUCAUAAAAGAAAAUGAUGUUAAAACGAAAGAAAAACUGUAUGUCAUUCGCUUUAAAAUUAAUUAUAAGAGCAACAUAAUAAAAAUAUCAGAUAUUUGUAUACCGCCGACUGUGACGGAUAAAAAAUAUAAUAUAUUGCACGAACUGCUUCUCUUCAUAACUAUCCGGCAGUGCAUUGAGAGUUUACCAGCUCCAGAGUGCGAUCUGCCCACAUUACCGUUCUAUAACAUCAAAAAAUUAAGUUUGACAACUAUAACUACGUAAAAAGGGAUCUACAAAGGACGAAUCAAAGAAAUAUUUCAGAUCGAAAUAGAGAAAUGCAAGGUGCAAAAAUGGUCAUG